rnacentral:rRNA from 1 species
AUUGAACGCUGGCGGCAGGCCUAACACAUGCAAGUCGAACGGUAACAGGAAGAAGCUUGCUUCUUUGCUGACGAGUGGCGGACGGGUGAGUAAUGUCUGGGAAACUGCCUGAUGGAGGGGGAUAACUACUGGAAACGUAGCUAAUACCGCAUAACGUCGCAAGACCAAAGAGGGGGACCUUCGGGCCUCUUGCCAUCGGAUGUGCCCAGAUGGGAUUAGCUAGUAGGUGGGGUAACGGCUCACCUAGGCGACGAUCCCUAGCUGGUCUGAGAGGAUGACCAGCCACACUGGAACUGAGACACGGUCCAGACUCCUACGGGAGGCAGCAGUGGGGAAUAUUGCACAAUGGGCGCAAGCCUGAUGCAGCCAUGCCGCGUGUAUGAAGAAGGCCUUCGGGUUGUAAAGUACUUUCAGCGGGGAGGAAGGGAGUAAAGUUAAUACCUUUACUCAUUGACGUUACCCGCAGAAGAAGCACCGGCUAACUCCGUG